CCGCCCCUCCCUCUCCCCGUCCCUCCCUCUCACCGCAGUCCCGACAUGGCGGCGGCCAGUGCGGUGCGGGCGGUCGGGCGGCGCUCCCGGCGGCUCUUCGACAUCUUCGUGGCUGAGAUUCCCUGGACGGUGUCGAGCAAACAGAGAUACAGGCUUUCACAGACGUUAUUGCUGGAUUAAAUUCUCAACUCCAGAAGAAGUUCAGAAUGUGUUACAGAAGGAUUCCCACAUUCUUGAAGGUUCCAAGCUCACUCUCAGACAGCAGACCCGUAGAAGACGCAGUCAAAGAAAGAGUCAAAGUGAAUGAGUGGUGGAAGGAGGCUUUAUUUCACUAAAUGUAAAGAAACUAAAAUAAAGAUUACUGAGAAACUA